ACCCAGCGGGCUUGGGGGCUGGGGCUCAGGCCGAAUCUCGCGAGAGCUGGGACUGGCGCUUCCGCGGCGGAACUACGAUGACGGGACUUCGCCUGGUGGUGCUUACUCUAGGGGCUGGGUCGUGGCCGCUCUUCGUCUCGACCGAAAUGCCCUUGGGUGCACUCGGCUGCGCUUCUGCUUCAGCCCUACCUCUGAAGCCGUUUAGAGUCGUCCUCCAGCCACAAAGACCAACAGAAAUGGGGGAUCAUUAAGAAUGGCCUUGUAGAUGAAACAAAACAAGACUUCACAUUUGGAGUACUAUCUGCAGUUCUGUGUCCAUGCCACGGGAAAAAUACACUGAAGCCAAAGAAGAGCCUUAGGAGGAAGUGAAAUUGACCUGACGGAAGGAUGGAGAACAGGAUAAAGACAUGAUGUUUUCGACUGAGCUGUCACAAGAAAGUCUAGCUGUUGGCACUGCUCCUGAGACUUUGAAGUUGUCAGCAUAGAGGAAAAUGAGAUCCUUCCACAAAAUAGCCAUGGCUGCUGCUGUUGGACAUUCUGUCGUGAAUUAAAUGAUCCAUGAAACUGA